GAUGUGUCCCGUCGCCGCCGCCACUCCACCCCCCACCGCGGGAUCCUCCCAAAUCCCCUUCUCACCCAACCAGCAUUCCUCGAUCGCCUCCUCCCGAGCCACCUCUCCCGUUCAUCCCAUCGUAGCAACAACUCCCGUGCCCCAGUUCUUUCCCCCAAGCAGCAACCAGGAGCACGAGAUCCUUCUUCCACGCCCGGGCCACCAAGUCGCUCGACGGGCCCGAGCCGAAGCUCGCCUCCGCCGGCCACUGGCAGCAACUGCUGCACCCCUCGCGCCCCGUGACCUCCUCCUUCCCUGAAGACCAGCCAGCGGGCCGCCCCUCGCAGAGCCGCCAUGGACGCCAAGCCGCCAGCUUCCUCCGCGCCCUUGCACCCUGCCGGACCGCCUGCUCGCGCUCGGCCCCGCCUGCCUGCACCCAACCCUCCGUUGCCGCCGCUCUCUUCGUCAGGACGUGAAAUGCCCGAGCAUCCGUUUUCAUUGACCGCUUCGUCAACCCAGCCGAGUGGGUCGAUCGGCCUUCUCAAGCUCGGCGCCGCCAAGCACCACCCUAGACCAGAUCCGGUCGGCCUACGCCGCCUCCAUCCAUUCCCAGCCGCCCAUGAGCCCGCGCCCUUGCUGACCCCACCGGAAUCCGCCUGGUUCAGCGCCGCCUCGGCCCUGCUUCGCAGCGAGCCUCUGCUCGUGUUGAC
rnacentral:rRNA from 1 species